AACCUCCGCAAUGUGAGAAAUCGCGACGGGGGGAUCCCAAGUGCCAUUCUUAACGGGAUGGCUUUUCAUUAGUGUAAAGAGCUUUUGGAAUAAGAGCUGGGCAAGACCGGUGCCAGCCGCCGCGGUAACACCGGCAGCUCUAGUGGUAACAAUUUUUAUUGGGCCUAAAGCGUCCGUAGCCGGUUUAAUAGGUCUCUGGUGAAAUCCUGCAGCUUAACUGUGGGAAUUGCUGGAGAUACUAUUAGACUUGAGACCGGGAGAGGUUAGAGGUACUCCCAGGGUAGAGGUGAAAUUCUGUAAUCCUGGGAGGACCGCCUGUUGCGAAGGCGUCUAACUGGAACGGUUCUGACGGUGAGGGACGAAAGUUAGGGGCGCGAACCGGAUUAGAUACCCGGGUAGUCCUAACUGUAAACGAUGCGGACUUGGUGUUGGGUGGCUUUGAGCUGCUUCAGUGCCGAAGGGAAGCUGUUAAGUCCGCCGCCUGGGAAGUACGGUCGCAAGACUGAAACUUAAAGGAAUU
rnacentral:rRNA from 1 species